CCUCGGCGCAGGCCGUGAGGUAGAGCGGACAGGUACGGCACCCCGCAGGGCGGCCCGGGGCCUCUGGUCCCCGCUGGCGUUCAGGGAGAGAGGCAGCGUGCUACGGGGGGAGUGCGUUCACCCCGCAUCCCUGCACCUACAGCUGUGGGGCCGUGAUGACUUAUCAAAAUGAAGUAAGGAGCGUUUGCUGCAAAACUCAUGCAUCAAAAUCUGUAGCACAUAAGGGCCGUGGUCAGAAUGGCUUAAGGAACAGCAGUGAUACUUAGGAGAGCUGGGAAAUAGGGUAUUACGCAGGCAAGGGCAUCUGAUAUAAAAGCUUAUGGGCAUAGCUGUACUUCAGCAAUAUCUGACUAAUGUGACAGCUAAUUGGUACAGAGUAUCAUUGAGGUCAGGAAUUUGUCAAUACCAAGAAAAAGUCAUUAGGCCUUCAUACAUGUUACAGGAACAGGUAGACUUGUAAUUACAAUAAUUUAAAACCAGAAGGGAUAUAAGCCUUCAUACUGGCUACUAGGAGUUACGUGCUCAGUUGAAAUACAUGUUGUUUGAGGUGUGCCUGGUUCUGAAAGGGAGGAAGAAUCAGACUCUAAACAGAGAAGAAAAUGGUACUUGGGACAAGAGUCAUCACAUCCUAUGAUCAGUCAUGAUUGUGCUGAUGGGCAAAGACAAGGUUUCCUUGGUUCACUCUUGCAGUGGACACAGACUGCGCUGGGUGUUACCAGUCCCUGCUAUUUCUGAUAGGGCUACUCUGCAACAAGGGCACAGCUUCUGGCAUCUCCUAUCUACUAAUUUUCAGAAAUAUUCCUACUUUGAAUGGUUAAUACACUAGAAUGAACAUGAUCACAAAUGAAGGCAUGGGAGACAAGUAGAAGACUACUCAUUGACUUAGGAACUCCUACCAGCUACACACAGUGUAAGAUUAAGAAUGCUUAGACAAGAUCAUUCUGAAGACCAACGUGGUACAACGUGAAAGCUUCUCCAGUUGUGCAGAACGACAUACCAAGUAUGGUAAUUACUGAGUGACAGGGUGGAAGCAUUUGUCUACAAGUUUCUUUAGCUAACACACCUAUGUGGCUGCUACAGAGCAGAAGAAAAUCUCUAUAUUCCUCAUGAAAUUAGUACAGUCUUUCAGUUUUCAGCACGGUUAACCAGCCUUAUGAUUAAGGACACAAAACCAAGACUUUGUGUCACAAUAGGGCCCAAGCGAGUGGCUUAAUGCUCAUGUAUUAAAGGAAUUAGAUAAGACUCGGAAGCAGCUCCAAUCUGCUGAGCAGGGUUGUUUCACAACAUGAGUGUUUGCAACUUGAUCUGCUUUUCAAAGAGACUACAAGAACACACUAAUGGAAACUACAAUGAAGGACCAAUUGUUCAUAUCAUUGCCAAACUUUCCAAAUUUUGGUACUUCAAGGGUGUAGAAAAUUAAAUCAGAUUCCAGGUUACUUUUGUUGCACAGGGAGCUGCCGUUACUGUAUUAGUUGCAGCCAAACGUAGCAUUGGAAAUGUACAUAUAUCAAAACAGUACUAAAAAAGCUACAAAUAUGAGUAUGUAGAAAAUAACAUGAUCUACAAGACAGAAAAGCCAUUGUGAUUUUUGUCUAUGAAGUUAGCAAUAAAUCAGAAAAAAUAUUGAAAUUUAAGUCACAAACUUUGAAAUUUAUUCAAAAGAAGGGCUCAGCCUUGACCACUGUGCACCAUGUGCAUAGAAAGGCUAUGCCUCCAUAGCCUACGACCUUGGCCAAAAAAACACAGAUGGUCACCCAGUGCCGCCCUGUGUUGAAAAAACGUAACUACAUGGACAAAUCCUUUUACGUAAGGGUAUGCCGUAGGAAAUAGUGUACCCUUGGUUUACGUGCAAAAUGACAGCUACCAUCCAUUGCUGCAGUUCAUACACAGCAAAGUAUGGGUUUGGGUUUUUUUAAUCACAGGUUCUUCACAAAGAGAUGCACUGCUAAAGACUUUCAUUACACUGCUGGAUAACAAAAAGAGAUGUUGAUCCUAUAGUACUAUGAUAUUUACAUGCAAUCCCAGCAAAUGAGGUAGGAAUGGCAGGAGAUUUAGCUAAAUAAGGAAAAAGCAAGUAACAUUUGGCAGCAAAUCAUCCAAGCAGUGUUUAUCAUCAGUAAUUAUUACUCAAAAGGAAGAGUAUGUAAACAAUGUAUUUGAUUUACCUAACCAGAGUCUUUCCUUAAAUUGUAACAAAUCUGUGUGUUUACUGUUUGAACUAUAAAUAAAAGGAAAUUUAAACUAUA